rnacentral:rRNA from 1 species
UACGUAGGGUGCGAGCGUUGUUCGGAUUCAUUGGGCGUAAAGGGUGCGUAGGCGGCGAGGCAAGUCUGAUGUGAAAUCCCGGGGCUCAACCCCGGAACUGCAUUGGAUACUGCCCUGCUAGAGUACUGGAGAGGGAACUGGAAUUUACGGUGUAGCAGUGAAAUGCGUAGAGAUCGUAAGGAAGGCCAGUGGCGAAGGCGAGUUCCUGGACAGUUACUGACGCUGAGGCACGAAGGCCAGGGGAGCAAACGGG